UUAAGUUAUUGUUCGAGCUCAAGGUCACGGGAUCCUUGGCCA
rnacentral:rRNA from 1 species